UACAGAGGGUGCAAGCGUUAAUCGGAAUUACUGGGCGUAAAGCGUGCGUAGACGGUUAUUUAAGUCAGGUGUGAAAGCCCCGGGCUCAACCUGGGAAUUGCAUUUGAGACUGAAUAGCUAGGGUGCGGAAGAGGGAAGCGGAAUUUCCGGUGUAGCGGUGAAAUGCGUAGAUAUCGGAAGGAACACCAGUGGCGAAAGCGGCUUCCUGGUCCAGCACCGACGUUCAGGCACGAAAGCGUGGGGAACAAACAGG
rnacentral:rRNA from 1 species